rnacentral:misc_RNA from 1 species
AAGUCCUUGAGAGUAUAAAAUGGACUCGGCUAGAAUGUUAGAUAUAUGGGCAAGGAACAGGACCAGAGUGCAGGGAACAUGUUAAGACCUGUAAUACCGUUCAAGGCCAAAAAGAUGAAAUUGCACAUCAGUUGUUAUUAGCCAGUGAUUUUGACCCACAACAAACGGUUUUACAUUUUGACCAACCAACGGGCUCUGAUGAGAUAUCUAGUAAAUGGCCCCAAUUUAUUGAAGAGGAACAGACAAAGACUGAUAUCAUAGAUGCCGAAGAAGACUAUAUUUCUAGCUGGGAUCGCUGCAUCCCAAGUGAUGAUCCUGCUCAAAAAAGAAAGAAAUGUCGACAAAGAUCAUAUGAGGCUAUCAGCAACACUGGAAGCCAAGUUAAUGAUGUGAAAAAGAGAAAGUCCCAUGUAUAUAUUCCCUGUGAUGAGCAGCAAUCAAAUAAGCUUUCAGGAUCCAUACCUGAGUCACGAAUUGUCCCAACAUUUCAACCACGGGCAUCCUGCAAGGAUAACAUAUUGCCAAGCAGUAAUACCCGUGCCCUAGUAACAAAAGAAGAGAUACACUCAAGUGGCAGUAAAUGGGAGCAAUUUUAUCUGUGAAUAUUUUACUGAAAUUAAAAGGUUAUAAAACAUUCUUAAUUACUUUGAAGCCCACAUUAAUUGCUAAAUGCGUGCUACUAGUGGCUAGUGUAAUGACGAAUUAAAUAUACUUUUUAGGAUUAUAUUGUAACAGAUGGCAGGCAAUGUACGUAAAGAGGAAGACUAUUAUAAUGACCGUGAUAUCAUCUGUCCUUACUUCUCACUGUUAAUGUGUUGAAUUAUUUAUUAUGGUGGCCUUGUAUGGAUUUCUUUAUAAAUAACAUGUUUUUAUGCUUA